rnacentral:rRNA from 1 species
CCUACGGGAGGCAGCAGUGGGGAAUCUUGCGCAAUGGGCGAAAGCCUGACGCAGCCAUGCCGCGUGUAUGAUGAAGGUCUUAGGAUUGUAAAAUACUUUCACCGGGGACGAUAAUGACGGUACCCGGAGAAGAAGCCCCGGCUAACUUCGUGCCAGCAGCCGCGGUAAUACGAAGGGGGCUAGCGUUGCUCGGAAUUACUGGGCGUAAAGGGCGCGUAGGCGGACAGUUUAGUCAGAGGUGAAAGCCCAGGGCUCAACCUUGGAAUUGCCUUUGAUACUGACUGUCUUGAGUACGGGAGAGGUGAGUGGAACUCCGAGUGUAGAGGUGAAAUUCGUAGAUAUUCGGAAGAACACCAGUGGCGAAGGCGACUCACUGGCCCGUUACUGACGCUGAGGCGCGAAAGCGUGGGGAGCAAACAGGAUUAGAUACCCUGGUAGUCCACGCCGUAAACGAUGAGUGCUAGUUGUCGGCAUGCAUGCAUGUCGGUGACGCAGCUAACGCAUUAAGCACUCCGCCUGGGGGAGGUACGGUCGCGAGAUUAAACGUUAAAGUAAAGUUAGACGGCGUGAGACGUGCCGAACGGACGACGACGAGGGAGGUAGG